UACGGAGGGUGCGAGCGUUGUCCGGAAUCAUUGGGCGUAAAGGGCGCGUAGGUGGCCCGGUCAGUUCGUGGUGAAAGCGCGGGGCUCAACCCUGCGUCGGCCAUGAAUACUGCCGCGGCUGGAGCACUGUAGAGGCAGGCGGAAUUCCGGGUGUAGCGGUGGAAUGCUUAGAGAUCCGGAAGAACACCGGUGGCGAAGGCGGCCUGCUGGGCAGUUGCUGACACUGAGGCGCGACAGCGUGGGGAGCAAACAGG
rnacentral:rRNA from 1 species